GCUUCGGUGGUCUAGAUGGUUAUGAUUUCGGUCUCAUAAGUUAUGAGUCCCUUCUAGGGAUGCAAUCCGAAGGCCCGUGGUUCGAGUCCGCGCCGAAGCA
rfam:Wallemia sebi CBS 633.66 unplaced genomic scaffold WALSEscaffold_7, whole genome shotgun sequence.